rnacentral:rRNA from 1 species
GGGCCCGCACAAGCGGUGGAGCAUGUGGCUCAAUUCGAGGCAACGCGAAGAACCUUACCUGGGUUUGAAAUGUGUUUGACAACCGUGGAAACACGGUCUCCCGCAAGGGCAGGCACACAGGUGCUGCAUGGCUGUCGUCAGCUCGUGCCGUGAGGUGUUCGGUUAAGUCCGGCAACGAGCGCAACCCGUAUCAUUAGUUGCUACCAGGUAAUGCUGGGCACUCUAAUGAGACUGCCUGUGUUAAGCAGGAGGAAGGCGCGGAUGACGUCAAGUCAGUAUGGCCCUUAUGUCCAGGGCUGCACACGUGCUACAAUGGUCGGUACAAUGGGUAGCAAUACCGCGAGGUGGAGCAAAUCCUGAAAACCGCCCUUAGUUCAGAUUGCAGUCUGCAACUCGACUGCAUGAAGUUGGAAUCGCUAGUAAAGGCGUAUCAGCCACGACGCCUUGAAUACGUUCCCGGGCCUU